GAGACGUUGAGCUCGAGUUGACCCUUGUGGGCAAAUCCAAACUCGUCGAAGGGGAUAAUCGUACGGUCAUCUGAUCGGAUUUCAGAGUACCGGAUCUCAGCGAAAGAAAGAGAAAAUAGAAGAGAAGCAACGAAAGGGAAGAGAAACAAGCAAGCCAUGGAUCUGAGAGACAGAGAGAGGUAGUUCUCAGAUCUGAGAGGUUUCGUUUCUCCUUGUGCCUUGUUUGGUUAACUUUACGAAAGAAAGAAAUUAAUUAAAAAGGAAAAUGGAAGACGCUAACCGCAUAACAAUUGGAAGGUCGGAAUUCUAGCCUUGCAGGGGGAAUCGAGCAAUGACGAGGAAGGUGAGUGGCAGAUACCCAGUGUAGGAGGUAACCUAACUCUAGUCAGUUUAAUCAGCAAUACGAGGCUUUUCACCCAAACGCAAGGUUAAAUAUGACGACUUCAUUUAUGCAACAUACGGUUGACGAAGUCUGAUCGGUUAUUUGGAUUCAGCCGUCAAUGAGCAUUGCGCGUGAAACUGAAAGCCCUGUUGACACUCUC
rnacentral:misc_RNA from 1 species